AAAGAAUUAGUUAAACAUAUAACUUUAGUAUGUCAUGCUAACAUUACUGGCUCAAAAUCCUAGUAUUCUUUA
rnacentral:tRNA from 1 species